UACGAAGGGGGCUAGCGUUGUUCGGAAUUACUGGGCGUAAAGCGCACGUAGGCGGAUAUUUAAGUCAGGGGUGAAAUCCCAGAGCUCAACUCUGGAACUGCCUUUGAUACUGGGUAUCUCGAGUAUGGAAGAGGUGAGUGGAAUUCCGAGUGUAGAGGUGAAAUUCGUAGAUAUUCGGAGGAACACCAGUGGCGAAGGCGGCUCACUGGUCCAUUACUGACGCUGAGGUGCGAAAGCGUGGGGAGCAAACAGA
rnacentral:rRNA from 1 species